ACUGAACGCUGGCGGCAUGCUUUACACAUGCAAGUCGAACGGCAGCGCGGGGCAACCUGGCGGCGAGUGGCGAACGGGUGAGUAAUACAUCGGAACGUACCUAGAAGUGGGGGAUAACGUAGCGAAAGUUACGCUAAUACCGCAUACGUUCUACGGAAGAAAGUGGGGGACCGCAAGGCCUCAUGCUUUUGGAGCGGCCGAUGUCUGAUUAGCUAGUUGGUGAGGUAAAGGCUCACCAAGGCGACGAGCAGUAGCUGGUCUGAGAGGACGACCAGCCACACUGGGACUGAGACACGGCCCAGACUCCUACGGGAGGCAGCAGUGGGGAAUUUUGGACAAUGGGGGCAACCCUGAUCCAGCCAUGCCGCGUGAGUGAAGAAGGCCUUCGGGUUGUAAAGCUCUUUCGGCCGGGAAGAAAUCGCAUGGGCUAAUACCCUGUGUGGAUGACGGUACCGGAAUAAGAAGCACCGGCUAACUACGUGCCAGCCGCCGCGGUAAUAC
rnacentral:rRNA from 1 species